rnacentral:rRNA from 3 species
CAGUGAUAAACUGGAGGAAGGUGGGGAUGACGUCAAGUCAUCAUGGCCCUUACGAGUAGGGCUACACACGUGCUACAAUGGCGCAUACAAAGAGAAGCGACCUCGCGAGAGCAAGCGGACCUCAUAAAGUGCGUCGUAGUCCGGAUUGGAGUCUGCAACUCGACUCCAUGAAGUCGGAAUCGCUAGUAAUCGUGGAUCAGAAUGCCACGGUGAAUACGUUCCCGGGCCUUGUACACACCGCCCGUCACACCAUGGGAGUGGGUUGCAAAAGAAGUAGGUAGCUUAACCUUCGGGAGGGCGCUUACCACUUUGUGAUUCAUGACUGGGGUGAAGUCGUAACAAGGUAACCGUAGGGGAACCUGCGGUUGGAUCACCUCCUU